rnacentral:rRNA from 1 species
UGGGGAAUUUUGGACAAUGGGCGAAAGCCUGAUCCAGCAAUGCCGCGUGUGUGAGGAAGGCCUUCGGGUUGUAAAGCACUUUUGUCCGGAAAGAAAUCCUCUGGGUUAAUACCUCGGGGGGAUGACGGUACCGGAAGAAUAAGCACCGGCUAACUACGUGCCAGCAGCCGCGGUAAUACGUAGGGUGCAAGCGUUAAUCGGAAUUACUGGGCGUAAAGCGUGCGCAGGCGGUUUUGUAAGACGGAUGUGAAAUCCCCGGGCUUAACCUGGGAACUGCAUUCGUGACUGCAAGGCUAGAGUAUGGCAGAGGGGGGUAGAAUUCCACGUGUAGCAGUGAAAUGCGUAGAGAUGUGGAGGAAUACCGAUGGCGAAGGCAGCCCCCUGGGCCAAUACUGACGCUCAUGCACGAAAGCGUGGGGAGCAAACAGGAUUAGAUACCCUGGUAGUCCACGCCCUAAACGAUGUCAACUAGUUGUUGGGGAUUCAUUUCCUUAGUAACGUAGCUAACGCGUGAAGUUGACCGCCUGGGGAGUACGGUCGCAAGAUUAAAACUUAAAUGAAUUGACGGGGUCAUAGCUGUUUCCU